GCGAUAAUCCAUUGAGUCCGGACUUUAUUCCAUCUAUUUUCAAUUAUGUUCCAUCUCCAGAGAAGAGAAGAAAAAUGGGACUGUAUGUGUUCAACAGAAGAUCUUUUUGAUCUGUUCAACCCCACUUUAUCCUACUUGUCAACCAAGCGAUAAUCCCCAAGAUAACAGCAAGAAUCCUACUGCAGACCAAACUCCCAUCUCACAGCAUUUGAAGGACUCCACCAAUGAAGAACCUGGAAAUGAUGUCCAGCCUGUUCUCCAUGAAAAUGUUCUAUUAUGCAGUACUGAAACAUGUGGUAAACGCCUCCAAUCUCUUGAGCAAGAAUGCCGAGCUCUGAGGACUGAAAAUGUGUUGCUGAAAGAAAAAA